UGUCCAAAAAGUAAUUUGGCUCAACAGCACUAAACGUUUUAAAACUUAAUUUUUCUGUGUUUUGCAGGCUCAAACUCGUUACUCAAGUCACCUUAAGAAACUCAAAGCACAUCAUGAUGCGUGUGAGAGGCGCUACGAGAAGGCUCAGACAGAAAGACUGAAUGAUGAGAGAGAAAGAACCUUGUUGGAUGGUAGACUCAACACGGUGGAGAGGAACCUGUGACUCGAGAUAAGAAAGGCGCUUUAAAGCAGCAGCUUGGACAGAAACGAGGCUCGGGAGGUGCUAGAAAGGCAAAAAACGAAUGAGGUCAACAGAGGAGGUGAAAGCAGUUGAAAAGUCUCUGAUGGAGUUCAUUCGUACUGGCAAGACCCCUGGAAAACAACAGGUGGACAUCCAGGUCAUCAAUUUACCGACACCGUCCCCAGAGUCACAUGUCACGUUUUUUCAUCAUGUGCGUAAAAUCCACAG